rnacentral:rRNA from 1 species
AGGGUUCGAUUCUGGCUCAGGAUGAACGCUGGCGGCGUGCUUAACACAUGCAAGUCGAACGAGUUAUGAUGAAACCUAGUGAUCAUAAAUGAGUGGCGGACGGGUGAGUAACGCGUGGGUAACCUGCCUUACACUGGGGGAUAACACUUAGAAAUAGGUGCUAAUACCGCAUAAGCGCACAGCUUCGCAUGAAGUAGUGUGAAAAGCUCCGGUGGUGUAAGAUGGACCCGCGUCUGAUUAGCUAGUUGGCGAGGUAACGGCUCACCAAGGCAACGAUCAGUAGCCGGCCUGAGAGGGUGAACGGCCACAUUGGGACUGAGACACGGCCCAAACUCCUACGGGAGGCAGCAGUGGGGAAUAUUGGACAAUGGGGGAAACCCUGAUCCAGCGACGCCGCGUGAGUGAAGAAGUAUUUCGGUAUGUAAAGCCCUAUCAGCAGGGAAGAAAAUGACGGUACCUGACUAAGAAGCCCCGGCUAACUACGUGCCAGCAGCCGC